GAUGAACGUUGGCGGCGUGCCUAACACAUGCAAGUCGAACGCUAGUAGCAAUAUUAGAGUGGCGCACGGGUGAGUAACACGUAGCUUAUCUACCUCCCAGCGCGGGAUAACGGUUCGAAAGAACUGCUAAUACCGCAUAAGCUCACGAGCUAUAGAGGCUGGUGAGAAAAGGCUUAGGUCACUGGGAGCGGGGGCUGCGGCCCAUCAGCUAGUUGGUGAGGUAACGGCUUACCAAGGCGACGACGGGUAGGGGACCUGAGA
rnacentral:rRNA from 1 species